CCCUAGCCCUGAUGGCAGCGGCAUCCUUUUUUGUUCGUCUUUUCGGCGAACAAAAAAGAUACAGCGAACAGCAGGAAAUUGC
rnacentral:sRNA from 2 species